rnacentral:rRNA from 1 species
AGUGAACGCUGGCGGUAGGCCUAACACAUGCAAGUCGAACGGCAGCACAGUAAGAGCUUGCUCUUAUGGGGGGCGAGUGGCGGACGGGUGAGGAAUACAUCGGAAUCUACUUUUUCGGGGGGGAUAACGUAGGGAAACUUACGCUAAUACCGCAGACGACCUACGGGUGAAAGCAGGGGAUCUUCGGACCUUGCGGGAUUGAAUGAGCCGCUGUCGGAUUAGCUAGUUGGGGGGGUAAAGGCCCACCAUGGCGCCGAUCCGUAGCUGGUCUGAGAGGAUGGUCCGCCACACUGGAAGUGAGACACGGUCCAGACUCCUACGAGAGGCAGCAGUGGGGAAUAUUGGACAAUGGGCGCAAGCCUGAUCCAACCAUACCGCGUGGGUGAAGAAGGCCUUCGGGUUGUAAAGCCCUUUUGUUGGGAAAGAAAAGCAGCAGGUUAAUACCCCGCUGUUCUGACGGUACCCAAAGAAUAAGCACCGGCUAACUUCGUG